rnacentral:lncRNA from 1 species
GCCAGCCGGCCGCUCCGAGUGCGGGCCGCCAAGCCCACGCCCACCCGGAACUCGCGCUGGCCCGCGAGCACCCGCGCGCAGCCCGGGUUCCCUCCCGCGCCUCUCCGUCUACACCUCCCCGCAAGUAGAGGGAGCCGGCUCUGGCUUCCGCCAGCCCAGUGAGGGGCUCCCACAGUGCAGCGGCGGGCUGAAGGCCUCCUCAAGCGUGGGCGGAGUGGGCACCGAGGCCGAGGAGGCACUGAGAGCAAGGGCUGCCAGCACGCUGUCAUCUCUCACUUUCAUGGGUCUCCAUAUUUUAAAAAGCUAAAGAAAGGACUUCAAUUAUGUCUCCAGGAGAAAUCAAGAGAAGAGUCCAAGUUUUAAGUCUGGAUCAAUACAAUAUUGGAAAAAGCCAUGUGAAGAAGGAUGUGUUUGCUUCCCCUUUCGCCAUGAUUUUAAGUUUCCUGAGGCCUCCCCAGCCAUGCAGAACUAUUCUUGGCCUUCCCACCCUACCCCGCAUGAUACAGAUACACUUUUAGGCAUCUGCAAUGGAUACGCUUGCUCCAGCCAAAGGGUAUUGAAAAAAGCAUGAACAGCUAAUAUGAAUGUCAAAAGGAAGUAACUUCAUCAACUGAAGAAUCUGGCCUGCAUAUCACUGGGCAUCAGGGCAUCUUUAUUGAAGAAGGCACAAAACCCUGGAAGCAUAAAUCGCCACAAGCAUUUAAAACCUGAACAUGCGAUAAAUAAAUCAACCUUAAAGGCCAUGUGGCGGGGAGCUCUUUACUCACCACUGUGACGUUGAAAGCAUACAGAAGAUCAAAAGGCAGGGCAGCGAUUAAAUCAAUGAUGAACCAGGUUGUGACAUAGUGGAUGCAAAUUGAUCUUGCUUCAAAGAUAACUUGGCCAGACUUGCUGACAUAAGUUGUUCGGAAAUUUAAAAUAAUAUCUGCUUGGGAAAAAAAAGGUUGAGAAAUAAAAGGAAGAGACAGAGAAGAAUAAAGAAGGUAGGAAGGACAAUGAAAGAAAGAAGAAAGGAAGGGAGACAGGCAGGCAAACAAGCAGGAAGGAAGGGAGGAAGAAAAUCGUAGAAAAUUAAAUAAAAUUAGGCAAAUGGCAACCACUUAGCCUAGUUCAGAUUGAUAAUAUCCAAAAUAUUCUCCUCUACAGAUCCAGUUCAACUAAACAGAUACUGAAGAAGGGUGAAAGUAAUAUUUUCUGAGCACAUAAUGUUCCAGACAUGAAGCUACAUGUUAAGAUUAUUAAAAUAAAUAAUCGUAGCAAUAGCAACAAUAGUCAUCACUUACUAAGUGUUCACUAUGUACCCAAUAUUGUUCUAAGAGCUUGGCAUAGGAUAUUUCACUUAAUCCUCAGUACAUCUCCUGAAGUAGACAGUGUUACUCUGAUUAAAGAGUCAGAAAUCAAGUCCCAGGAAGAAAAAGUAAUUCAUCCAAGAUCAUAUUGCCAAGAGUGGCAGAGUCAAGUUUUAAUACAGAUACAAGCCGGGCAUGGUGGCUCAUGCCUGUAAUCCCAGCACUUUGGAAGGACGAAGCAAAAGAAUUGCCCGAGCUCAGAAGUUCAGGAUGAGUCUGGGCAACAAAACGAGAACUCAUCUCUAUUAAAAUUCAAAAAAAAUUAGCUGGGCAUACUGGCACAUGUCUGUAGUCCCAGUUACUCCAGAGACUGAGGUGGAAGAAUCACUUGAGCCCAGGAAGUUGAGGCUUCAGUGAGCCAUGAUUGCACCAUGCACUCCAGCCUGGGCAACAGAGUGAGACCCUGUUUCAAAAACAAAAACAAAAAACCCACUAAAUAUAAUCUGAAAUCUAUAUUCCUUAUUUUAUAUAAUAUUACUUAUUUCCAUGUAUAAAAGUUUUACUAAUCUCUGUGUCGAUAUGGAAUUCAGCCCUGCCCUGAAGGCACUCCUAUUAACAAAGUACUGGUAGUUUCUUGUGUGAAUUUCUGGGUUAAAUUCUAUUUUAAUGAAAGAUGUAAUUGUUUUCAAUCUUUCCCUGCAUCAUUAUUUAGUUAUAUAUUAUCGAGCGUUUUACAAUAUAUGAGGUCCUCCUGAGUGCUGAUCAAAUGACAUCCGUGUGAGUUUCCAACAGCCCUAUGAGCUUGAAAGAAGACCCUGAGCAGGAGAAAGGAACACAACUCAGCUGAUAUUUUGAUGUCAGCCUUUUGAAUUCCUGAUCGGAGGAUCCAACUAAGCCAUCCCUGGACUUUUGACAUAUAGCAACUGUAAGACAGUAAAUGGAUGUUGUUUUAAGUUGAUAAGUUUGCUAUGCAGCAAUAAAAACUGAAACAAUACUUAUUAUGUCAUUUGAUUCUCAGUAUAGCCUUGUGAAGUGAAAAGCACAGGAGCUAUGACAAGGAAGAUUAGUAUUAUUGUAGAUAACACACAGGUUCUUCGUAUGAG